CCUACGGGUGGCAGCAGUGGGGAAUAUUGCACAAUGGGGGCAACCCUGAUGCAGCGACGCCGCGUGAAGGAAGAAGUAUUUCGGUAUGUAAACUUCUAUCAGCAGGGAAGAAAAUGACGGUACCUGACUAAGACGCCCCGGCUAACUACGUGCAAGCAGCCGCGGUAAUACGUAGGGGGCAAGCGUUAUCCGGAUUUACUGGGUGUAAAGGGAGCGUAGGCGGUUCAGCAGGUCAGAAGUGAAAGCCCGGGGCUCAACGCCGGGACUGCUUUUGAAACUGUUGAACUAGAGUGCAGGAGAGGUAAGUGGAAUUCGUGGUGUAGCGGUGAAAUGCGUAGAUAUUAGGAGGAACACCGAUGGCGAAGGCGGCUUACUGGACUGUAAAUGACGCUGAGGCUCGAAAGCGUGGGGAGCAAACAGGAUUAGAUACCCCAGUAGUC
rnacentral:rRNA from 1 species